AGAUCCACCCUGACGACGAGUGGCGAACGGGUGAGUAAUACAUCGGAACGUGUCCGCUCGUGGGGGACAACCAGCCGAAAGGUUGGCUAAUACCGCAUGAGUUCUACGGAAGAAAGAGGGGGACCCGCAGCCUCUCGCGAGCGGAGCGGCCGAUGACUGAUUAGCCGGUUGGUGAGGUAACGGCUCACCAAAGCAACGAUCAGUAGCUGGUCUGAGAGGACGACCAGCCACACUGGGACUGAGACACGGCCCAGACUCCUACGGGAGGCAGCAGUGGGGAAUUUUGGACAAUGGGCGCAAGCCUGAUCCAGCUAUUCCGCGUGUGGGAUGAAGGCCCUCGGGUUGUAAACCACUUUUGUAGAGAACGAAAAGACACCAUCGAAUAAAUGGUGUUGCUGACGGUACUCUAAGAAUAAGCACCGGCUAACUACGUGCCAGCAGCCGCGGUAAUACGUAGGGUGCGAGCGUUAAUCGGAAUUACUGGGCGUAAAGGGUGCGCAGGCGGUUGAGUAAGACAGAUGUGAAAUCCCCGAGCUUAACUCGGGAAUGGCAUAUGUGACUGCUC
rnacentral:rRNA from 1 species